rnacentral:rRNA from 1 species
UACGUAGGGGGCGAGCGUUAUGCGGACUUACUGGGUGUAAAGGGUGCGCAGGCGGCUUGGUAAGUCAGAAGUGAAAGGUUGGGGCUCAACCCCGGAACUGCAUCUGUAACUGCUGAGCUAGAGUUUGGGAGAGGAAAGUGGAAUUCCUAGUGUAGCGGUGAAAUGCGUAGAGAUUCGGAGGAACACCAGUAGCGAAGGCAGCUCCCUGGACCAUAACUGACGCUGAUGCACGAAAGCGUGGGGAGCAAACAGG